CCUGUCUCCUGGAGACUUAGUGUUUCAAACUAGGGGGUUGGCCUAGACAGAGGCGGAAGGAAUUUCUUCAGGCCGUGUUUUUCUGUGGCAAAACUGACACACAGAGAGACGAGGUGACCCGCUUCCUGCCCCUGAAGGAGACUGUAGGAGAGAUGGGGAUGGGGGACCCGAGCUUCCUAGCUCUGCUGCGGAAGCCCAGAAACACAAGGUUCUCCAACCUCCUAAGCAAACAGAAGCAGACAACAACGGAGCAAGGAGCUUCCCAGCUGGCUUGGAGCACAGGGGGGACCCUGCAAGCAGCUCUUUCCAGCAGCUCUUCUCCUCCGGAACUAGCCACAGGAACCCACACGGUGAGAGUUAACCACCCUGGCCCAACGGUUUCUUCAUAAAUAAGGAUUAUUAAUAAACAGU
rnacentral:lncRNA from 1 species